CUGGCAUCAGAGCCACCAUGAAGUCUUUGUGUGUCGCUGCUGUUGUUGUGCUGAGUCUCACCUCCGUGUGCCAGGCUGCGUCGCUGGCUUGUGAGAAGCUGCUCAAGCCAGUGGACAAAGGUCCCGAUAUCCGUGGGAGUUGGUACUUGAUAGCCAUUUCCUCGGAAGAGUGUUGGAUUUCAACAUUAAUUAAUUCUGUUUUUUGGCCAAGUCUGGAAAUAAACAUUACCUCCACAGACAAGCCGAACAUCUAUCGUUCCGAAUUUAAGUUUAAAAUAUGAGCGACCUUUCAUCUUGUUGAGUAUUUGUACACCAUGUACCGUAAAUAUAGUAUUGUCAGGUGUUACAUCUUUACAAAAUCCUUUGCAGUUAUGGAUAUUGCACUCGUGAAGUAGAAUUGACUUACUAUGAGAACAACAUCUUGGAUGAUGUCAGCACCAACAAUACAAGAAAGGGUGAAACAAAUGUACUGCUGCAGAGUGGCUGUCCUGACUGCAUCGUUAUAAAGGAGAUGGACAACAUAUUAUUCCUCUUCAGUAAGGACAACAGAGGGAUGAAAUAAGAAAUGAUGUGAUCAUAUUUCCAAUUAGCCUACGGCCACCAUCUUAGGAGCUAAUCAGCACUCUAACACGCUAACACGCUAACACACUGACAUUAAGCUUGAUAAACAUUUCCUAUGUUCACCAUCUCACGAGCUAAUCAACACUAACACGCUAACACACUGAUAUUAAGCUUAUUUAACGUUUCUCAUGUUCACCAUCUCAGGAGCUAAUCAACACUAAACACAUAGCUGAGACUGAUCGUAAUGCCAUCAGUUUUGCAAAUAUUUGGCAAUGUAGCCUACCAAAUAAUGAUGAUUUUAACCCUCCUGUCGUGUUCGGGUCACAUCUAACCGAUUUAAUUUAAUCAACCAUUGUUGUACAUCUGAUUUCCUCCACACUAGGCAUUUGAACAUAUAACAAUUGCUGAUCGCCACCAUUUUUUGUGUUUUAGUCAACUUUCUAACACCAAUGGUGUUCCCGGUCAAAAGUGACCGCUAUAGGGAAUUAAUGGGAAACACUAGAUUAUGUCUGUUUAUCAACCCCAUACACACUCACACAUCCACAACCACAGCCAACUCAGUCUGGAAGUGGUGAACCCCCAAACAAAGAUAUUGCUGAUGACUAUGACUGUAUUUAGUUGUCAUCUCUAACAGCCUUUUAAUAGCUUGCUCUGUACACAUACAUUGAGUGAGAUGUCACUGGUGUGGGUCAAACCGGUGUAGACAGAAUAUCAUCACAAGGCCUUGGUCUCUAAUGUGUCACCUCUUUAACAGGUCGGAGAAAGACUGUCACUGAUGCUGAGCUGAAGGAGUUUGAGGCCCAGGCGUCGUGUCUCGGCUGGAUCAAGCCAGAAAUCACAAACCCAAAUCACGAUUCUGAACAGUGCCAGUCAUUUGAUGACGACAUGGAUCCUACAGGAUUAUCAUCCUCGAUCUUGAAAAGAUUGCAAAGCACAUAUCCUGUGGCAUUGACGUGUUUCACGAGGACUUUUUUUUCUCAAUCCAACCCGAUCCUUGCGUUGGCUCAGGAGAGUUGGAAUGACUUGUGGUGAAGUGAAUGUGCUAUUCAAACCCCCUUGUUCUUUGAUUUAGGGUUUUAGUGGUGCUCCACAGGGCUUUUCACCGCAAAGACAAGUCAGUAUCAUCAUUAAUAACUGAUGUAUUAAUGAUCAAGGUUCUUUUAAUAUUUCAUUGAUUUUCUUUUCUUUCCUUUUCCAUUUUUAAUGAAGCCAGGAUUUGUACUGUCUCCUGCUGCAGAACACUGUGCAGCAACUCCUGCUCACAGAUCUGAAUCACAUUCAUAGACUUCCCAGUGGUCGUAAAAAGACUAAAUGUUUGAGGGAUGUGUCUACAAAUUAACCUGACGAAGUUGAGGUUAUUUGCGUUUUUCCGAAAGGGUUUUUGAUUUUUGUGUAAAAUGUUUUUAAUGAUGAAUCAAAAUUAAAGUUUAACUGUUGCAUUCAA